AGUGAACGCUGGCGGUAGGCCUAACACAUGCAAGUCGAACGGCAGCACAGUAAGAGCUUGCUCUUACGGGUGGCGAGUGGCGGACGGGUGAGGAAUACAUCGGAAUCUACUUUUUCGUGGGGGAUAACGUAGGGAAACUUACGCUAAUACCACAUACGACCUACGGGUGAAAGCAGGGGAUCUUCGGACCUUGCGCGAUUGAAUGAGCCGAUGUCGGAUUAGCUAGUUGGCGGGGUAAAGGCCCACCAAGGCGACGAUCCGUAGCUGGUCUGAGAGGAUGAUCAGCCACACUGGAAGUGAGACACGGUCCAGACACCUAAGGGAGGGAGCAGUGGGGAAUAUUGGACAAUGGGGGCAAGCAUGAUACAGCCAUACCGCGUGGGUGAAGAAGGCCUUCGGGUUGGAAAGACCUUUUGUUGGGAAAGAAAAGCAGCAGGUUAAUACCACGCUGUUGUGACGGUACCCAAAGAAUAAGCACCGGCUAACUUCGUG
rnacentral:rRNA from 1 species